UACACAUGCAGUCGAGCGGUAGCACAAAGAGCUUGCUCUCGGGUGACGAGCGGCGGACGGGUGAGUAAUGUCUGGGAAACUGCCUGAUGGAGGGGGAUAACUACUGGAAACGGUAGCUAAUACCGCAUAACGUCGCAAGACCAAAGUGGGGGACCUUCGGGCCUCAUGCCAUCAGAUGUGCCCAGAUGGGAUUAGCUAGUACGUGGGGUAACGGCUCACCUAGGCCACGAUCCCUAGCUGGUCUGAGAGGAUGACCAGCCACACUGGAACUGAGACACGGUCCAGACUCCUACCGGAGGCAGCAGUGGGGAAUAUUGCACAAUGGGCGCAAGCCUGAUGCAGCCAUGCCGCGUGUGUGAAGAAUGCCUUCGGGUUGUAAAGCACUUUCAGCGGGGAGGAAGGCAUUAAGGUUAAUAACCUUGUCGAUUGACGUUACCCGCAGAAGAAGCACCGGCUAACUCCGUGCCAGCGGCCUCGGUAAUACGGAGGGUGCAAGCGUUUAUCGAAAUUACUGGGCGUAAAGCGCACGCUGGCGGUCUGUCAAGUCGGAGUGAAAUCCCCGGGCUCAACCUGGGAACUGCAUUCGAAACUGGCAGGCUAGAGUCUUGUAGAGGGGGGUAGAAUUCCAGGUGUAGCGGUGAAAUGCGUAGAGAUCUGAGGAAUACCGGUGGCGAAGC
rnacentral:rRNA from 1 species